CCUACGGGAGGCAGCAGUGGGGAAUAUUGCACAAUGGGGGAAACCCUGAUGCAGCGACGCCGCGUGAGUGAAGAAGUAUCUCGGUACGUAAAGCUCUAUCAGCAGGGAAGAAAAUGACGGUACCGGACUAAGAAGCCCCGGCUAACUACGGGCCAGAAGCCGCGGUAAUACGUAGGGGGCAAGCGUUAUCCGGAUUUACUGGGGUGAAAGGGAGCGUAGACGGGAGCACAAGUCUGGGGUGAAAUCCCGGGGCUUAACCCCGGAACGGCUUUGGAAACUGGGCGGCUGGAGUGCAGGAGGGGUAGGCGGAAUUCCUGGUGUAGCGGUGAAAUGCGUAGAUAUUAGGAGGAACACCGGUGGCGAAGGCGGCUUACUGGACUGUAACUGACGUUGAGGCUCGAAAGCGUGGGGAGCAAACAGGAUUAGAUACCCGUGUAGUC
rnacentral:rRNA from 1 species